rnacentral:lncRNA from 1 species
CAUAGUUUUCGAUGGUUAAAUUCUUCCACAAAACUCUAGGCAAUUGUCCAAUCUGUUGUAGAUACAAGUUCUUUAUAGAACACACUGAUUGGUUCAUCAACUGAGAUUGCUACAAUGUAACAGUAAAAAAAAAAAACUGAAAUAUUUGCUUUGAUGUGACUAGUUUUUUUGCUAAACUGGAAAAAAACUUGAAAAAAAAAGUUAGAAUAAAAAAUGUGAUUUUUUGUAAAAACCGAAAAAAAGCUAGAAAUUUUAGCAAAAAAUAUCUACUUUUUUAGUUUUUACAAAUUUAUUGCUUUUUAGAUUUUAUAUCAAUUUUUACAAAAAUAUUGUUUUAGUAAAAAAAAAAAUUUUUUGGAAAAGCUGGAAAAAUAAUACAUUUUUUCUUCAGAUUUUAGUAAAAAUUUUUUUUAGAAGAAUUGCUUUCGAAAAUUAUUUUUUGGAUAUGAAUAAUGUAUCUUUUUAAUUAAUUACGAAAUAUUUAGAAUGGACCAACAGGACGAUGACAGGUGUCCCUCCGUUAACUCAAAUAUCAUUUGUGAGCUAAAAAAAUUAAUGGAAAGAUAUUUGACUCAAUAAGUAGAUGGAGGAUAUUAUUAAUCCAAAACGUAUGAACAAUUAGACAUGAGCGUGUCAAUCGCUCCUGGUAUUAGUAAGCUAUAAACUUCUGUGACAUUUUGACCUUACAACUUGAUCAUAGUAUUAUAAUUAUUGAAAUUUAGGAUAUUGGUCAAAUAUUUCUUUAUACUUUCUGGUCCCAAAAUGAAUGUAGGGUUUGAAAUAUGAGUCAGCACAAAUUGCAAGUCACUUAAAUCUUUCCAAUAAACGUAGUGAACUGUGCUGAAUCAAACGAGAUAGAGAGUAAUCUCUCUUUCUUUUUUUAAAGAACAAUAAUAAUAAUAAUAACAACAACAACAAUAAUAAUAAUAAUAAUAAUAAUAAUAAUAAUAAUACCAAAGGCCAAAUAGAAGAAAUUAAAAGGAGAGUUGGCUAGCUAUAACAAAAUGGGGGCAUUUGCAUCUACAACUGUUUUUUGUCACAUUUUAAUUUAUGGCCGCUUUGUAAAAAAAAAUACAAGCAUACUUACUUUUUCGCAUAACUUCAGCAUAUAAGGCUGAAGUAGCAAAAACAAUCACACAAAAUUUCAGCAUUCUAGUAGACGGGUCUGAAGUAGCAAGUGUGCGGAAGUUUUUGUUUGUAAUUGCUGAACUUAAGCAUAAUAGCUGAAGUUUUAUUUUAUUUUUGUAACUGGUUUUGUUUGUGUAACUGGAGAACUUCAGUUCUAGAGUUGAAGUUUUUGUUUUGUAAUUGGCUAACUUUAACUCUAGAGCUGAAGUUUUUAUUUUUGUAAUUGGCGAAACUGAAGUUUAUGGUUUGUAAUAUGCAAACUUCAGCUCUAGAGCUGAAGUUUUUGUUUUUGUAGCUGGCGAACUUUAGCUCUAGAGCUAAAAUUUUUAUUUUAUAACUGUCGAACUUCAAUUCUAUUUAGUUCAAUUGUAAAAACUUUAACACUAUAUAAAGAAGAAGGAGGAGGACUAAAACCUGUUCAGUACUAGCCUAAAUAUAAUAUGUUAAAGUUCUAUUUUUACUUAGUUUAAGUUCCUAAGGAAGUGUCAUAGGAUAUUUACACUGGGGAAAUAUUGUUUUAUCUUCUGUAACAUUUUUACGAUUUAGAUUCUACAUUUCUUUUCUUUAGCUGAUCAGCUUAUUGUUCUAAGGUCUAAGACACUUGAAUCGAUUGUGUCACACACGUAGUCAGACACCAAAACGUAUGACAAUGACACAUAUGGCUCCUUCUUUAGUUUCGGAAAAUCAAGCACAAAAUUAGACUCUGAAUGGAACCAAAAAUAAACUAAACGAACAUUAAACUAACAGUUAAUAAUUAUGAGACCAAGCAACAGAAAGAACUUAAACAAAGAAAAAGGAAAAACUCGAAAAACUCACCGAUUUAGCCUCUCAUUUCCAGAUUCAAAUUAGGGUUCUCCAGUGAUAUUUGAGCACCAACAAUGAUAGAAGCAUCAUGAGGAAGAGGAGGGGAUCGUGUGGUACCAAUUUGGAGUAAUUCGGAGCACUUAGGGUUUUGGCCGUAAGAACUCAAAUUGAAAUUCGACCAGUUCCGACCAAAUUCGAGGGGUGAUUCUUAGGUCAUUAGAAAGAGGGAACGGAGGAGAUUCACCGGUGUAAAUUUGGGGUGAUUUGGAGGAGGUUGCGUCAUGGACGGAAAAACUUCGAUCUAACAUUCGAAGCUUAGGGGUGGGAUUCGAGGGAAAUGAGAGAUGGACUCGGAUAGAGGAAGAGAAGAGGAGCAUAGGGUGUUAAUUUGGGGUAAUUUGGCAACGGGCCGCCGUUGUGGGGAUUUCCAUCGGCGGUCCACGGUGGCGUUACACAGUGCUGUACAUGGGUGUGUUUGGGACGAUGAAACGAAAGUGGGGGAUAUGAUCCGACAUAGUUACGAACCGUCCGAUCAUAAAAAAUUAGACGGUCCAGAUUAAUAGUUAUUCAAACGAGAUCGUGUUGGGGAGAUAGGAAUUGGGUCGGGUGGUGACUUGGGCAGGACGAGUUGGAAAGGGAUUGUGGACGGGGGAUACUCAAUUGAAUGAGCCCAAAUCGGGUCUCUACAAGGCAGCCCCUUUUAUUUGCUUUUCUCUGUUUUUAUUUUUGUUCUACUUUAUUUUCUUUUAUUUAUUUUUUGUAUUCCUUUUGUAUUUUUAUAUAUUUUAUAAAAAUACAUAAAUUAAAAUGACAAAAGCGGG